rnacentral:rRNA from 1 species
UGAACGCUGACAGAAUGCUUAACACAUGCAAGUCUUUGGCGAAGCUGUGCUUGCACAGCCUAGCCAAGGCGGACGGGUGAGUAACGCGUAAGGAACUUGCCCUGCAGUCAGGGAUAACAGACGGAAACGACUGAUAAGACCUGGUAAAGUCAGGCGGACUCAUGUCCAGCCUGAUGAAAAGAGAUGCUGCAGGAGAGCCUUGCGUCCUAUUAGCUUGUUGGUGGGGUAACGGCCCACCAAGGCGAUGAUAGGUAGCCGGCCUGAGAGGGUGGACGGCCACAAGGGGACUGAGAUACGGCCCUUACUCCUACGGGAGGCAGCAGUGGGGAAUAUUGGACAAUGGGGGCAACCCUGAUCCAGCAAUUCUGUGUGCACGAUGAAGGUUUUCGGAGUGUAAAGUGCUUUCAGCAGGGAAGAAAAAAAUGACGGUACCUGCAGAAGAAGCGACGGCUAAAUACGUG